rnacentral:rRNA from 1 species
UCGGAGAGUUUGAUCCUGGCUCAGGACGAACGCUGGCGGCGUGCCUAAUACAUGCAAGUCGAGCGGACAGAAGGGAGCUUGCUCCCGGAUGUUAGCGGCGGACGGGUGAGUAACACGUGGGUAACCUGCCUGUAAGACUGGGAUAACUCCGGGAAACCGGAGCUAAUACCGGAUAGUUCCUUGAACCGCAUGGUUCAAGGAUGAAAGACGGUUUCGGCUGUCACUUACAGAUGGACCCGCGGCGCAUUAGCUAGUUGGUGGGGUAAUGGCUCACCAA